GACGAACCACCCAAACGUUAUUCGGAAUUACUGGGCGUAAAGGGUGCGCAGGCGGCUUGGCAAGUCGGAAGUGAAAUCCCAGGGCUUAACCCUGGAAUUGCUUUCGAAACUGCCAAGCUUGAGUCUCGGAGAGGUUAGCGGAAUUCCCAGUGUAGAGGUGAAAUUCGUAGAUAUUGGGAGGAACACCAGUGGCGUAAGCGGCUAACUAGACGAGUACUGACGCUCAGGCACGAAAGCGUGGGGAUCAAACAGG
rnacentral:rRNA from 1 species